CCUCUCUCAGGAUGGCACCUGUAGAGUUUCCAGUACUCUACCAGUUUCAUCUAUGGGAGGGAGAAUCAAGCAGAGGCUUAUCCAUUCCAUUCCUAGCUUGGCCAGUGGCUAGCGAGUGGCAGACAAUCUGCUACAAGU